ACUGAGUGCAGUGUUGUGUGUCUGUGGUCCCAGCUACUCAGGAGGCUGACACGGGAGGGUUGCUUGAGCCCAGGAUUUCUGGGCUAUAGCCUAGAUCAGCGCUGUGCUGAUCAGAUGUCCACACUAAGUUCAUAUGGUGACCUCCCAGGAGUGGGUAACCACCAGAUUGCCUAAGGAAGGGUAAACCGGCCCAUGUCGGAAAUGUGCAGGUCAGAACGCCCGUGCUGAUCAGUGAUGGGAUCACACCUGUGAAUAGCUGCUACACUCUAGCCUGGGCAAUAUAGCGAGACCCACCUCU
rnacentral:SRP_RNA from 1 species